rfam:Myotis davidii contig321552, whole genome shotgun sequence.
GGCAGUUCUCAGGUGACACACCCCAGAAUCGGGCUUCCCUCUCUGGUUCCAGGUGUGUCACCCAAGAACUGCA